AGAGUUUGAUCAUGGCUCAGGAUGAACGCUGGCGGUAUGCUUAACACAUGCAAGUCGAACGGUGUUUUCGGACACAGUGGCGGACGGGUGAGUAACGCGUGAGAAUCUGGCUCUAGGUCGGGGACAACCACUGGAAACGGUGGCUAAUACCGGAUGUGCCGAGAGGUGAAAGGCUUGCUGCCUAGAGAUGAGCUCGCGUCUGAUUAGCUAGUAGGUGGGGUAAGAGCCUACCUAGGCGACGAUCAGUAGCUGGUCUGAGAGGAUGAUCAGCCACACUGGGACUGAGACACGGCCCAGACUCCUACGGGAGGCAGCAGUGGGGAAUUUUCCGCAAUGGGCGAAAGCCUGACGGAGCAAUACCGCGUGAGGGAGGAAGGCUCUUGGGUUGUAAACCUCUUUUCUCAGGGAAGAACACAAUGACGGUACCUGAGGAAUCAGCAUCGGCUAACUCCGUGCCAGCAGCCGCGGUAAUACGGAGGAUGCAAGCGUUAUCCGGAAUGAUUGGGCGUAAAGCGUCCGCAGGUGGCUAUGUAAGUCUGCUGUUAAAGAGUGAGGCUCAACCUCAUAAGAGCAGUGGAAACUACAUAGCUAGAGUGCGUUCGGGGCAGAGGGAAUUCCUGGUGUAGCGGUGAAAUGCGUAGAUAUCAGGAAGAACACCGGUGGCGAAAGCGCUCUGCUAGGCCGCAACUGACACUGAGGGACGAAAGCUAGGGGAGCGAAUGGGAUUAGAUACCCCAGUAGUCCUAGCCGUAAACGAUGGAUACUAGGCGUGGCUUGUAUCGACCCGAGCCGUGCCGUAGCUAACGCGUUAAGUAUCCCGCCU
rnacentral:rRNA from 1 species